GGCCAUGCACACGUACGACUCGGUGGCCAAGACCAUCGAGCCCAAGAAGCAGGCGCUGGCGCAGGCCGAGAACGACCUGGCGCAGGUGCAGGCCGCGCUGCAGAAGAGCCAGGACGCGCUCAACGGCGUGCUCAAGAAGGUGGCGGACCUGAAGGC
rnacentral:snRNA from 14 species